rnacentral:rRNA from 1 species
AAAGCGUGCGCAGGCGGUUUUGUAAGACUGUCGUGAAAUCCCCGGGCUCAACCUGGGAAUGGCGAUGGUGACUGCAAGGCUAGAGUUUGGCAGAGGUGGGUAGAAUUCCACGUGUAGCAGUGAAAUGCGUAGAUAUGUGGAGGAACACCGAUGGCGAAGGCAGCCCCCUGGGUCAAAACUGACGCUCAUGCACGAAAGCGUGGGGAGCAAACAGGAUUAGAUACCCCUGU